rnacentral:lncRNA from 1 species
CUGUCCGGAGCUGGUACAGCAGCUAAGGGAAAAAAAUUUUGAUGAAUUUUCUAAGCACCUUAAGGGCCUUGUUAAUCUGUAUAACCUACCAGGGGACAACAAACUGAAGACUAAAAUGUACUUGGCUCUCCAAUCCUUAGAACAAGAUCUUUCUAAAAUGGCAAUUAUGUACUGGUCAUUUAAUGAACCUGAAGUACUAUGUCUCUCCUUCUGACCUGCUGGAUGACAAGACUGCAUCUCCCAUCAUUUUGCAUGAGAAUAAUGUUUCUCGAUCUUUGGGCAUGAAUGCAUCAGUGACAAUUGAAGGAACAUCUGCUGUGUACAAACUCCCAAUUGCACCAUUAAUUAUGGGGUCACAUCCAGUUGACAAUAAA